GAAGAGCUAUAGGGUUUCUGUAGAAGUCCCUGAAGCAGGGUCUGCAAUAUGUAGUUUCUGGGGAAUCAGGGCUCUAUCCUAGAGCAGAGAGACUUAGAUAUCCUAGAAGGGGCUGGGAGCUGAGCCUAAAGGUUUGGCCUGGUACGUUUCAUGAAACAGAACACAUCCACACACACAUUCUAUAUAAAUAUUUCCUGAGAGCAGGAGGGAGAGCAGACCAUGAAAAGUUGAGCCACUCGCACAAGAGAGUUUGAUCACAUGCAGGGGACCUUCAGAAGACAGAAUUAGGGAUGGUAUAACAGCUUAGCACAGGAUCACCACCAUCCUCAAUCUACUGGCUUUUGAUUUAGCAGCACAAAGAUGCUUUAUGAUAGCAUACUCUCACCAACAUCUGCUUCACUUUUUUUUUCACUGCCAUCUUUAACACCAUCCAACUAAACUCUCUCCUUCAAAGGAACUGUAAUAAGAAUAAACGCCAACAUGGGCCACAAUCUUACACUCUUCCUUUGGUAUACGUGAGUAACUUGCUGUCACUACUGGAAUCAGCUUGUGAAGCAGAUGUUAAUUCUCUACACAGUGGAAAGCCUCAGCCUUGGAAAGUGACAAAGUUAGUAAAAGUAGUCGUCCUAGCUCGCUGCUUUCUUAAGGUUUGCAGGUUCUCUCAUAGGCCCACUUUAUUGUGCAGUUGGAAAUAUAGCCUUGCAACCAUAGAGCCAAAUUGCACACAGUGCUGAAGAUGUAACUUUUAUCAUAACACUGAUGACCAUUUGGUGGUGCAUUAAUAUAUACAACAAUCAGAAAAUGGUAUUCAGAAAUCCACUUUAGCAGAUAAAAUCAGCACACCCUUCUAGCAAGGAUUAUACUACAGUUUUUAUAUUUUAACAGCUCCCAGAAAUGCUUUCCUGAGCUUUUAUGAGUGAACUUUCUCUGCACUGAUUUCCAAAUUCACAGCAUGCAUUAGCCUCAGCACAUAACACAGUAAGAUUACACAGCUGAGUUUUUCCCAUUUGUUGCCAGAGGAAAUUCUGUAUUAGUUUUAACAUGAACACAUUUCUUUCAUCUGGCAUAUUCUUGUUGUCAGUUUCAAAAAAAUGGAAUAUACCCAAGUGGUUUUAGAUCUCCUGCUUUACAUAGUGCUCCAUCGAGCUGGUCAUCCCUAGCAGUGCAGUAUGCUAUUUAAAUGUAUCCUGCCUUUUCCCCUCUUCUUUUAAAAACUAUCUGGUGCCCCGAAAAUGCAUUGUCAAUAGUAGGGAUUUUGUGCUUCGGAAAACAAUUCAGAGGCAAUGUGAAAGGAUAUGUCAUUCUGGCUUGUGCAUAGUGCUCCGUUCAGUGUAGAGCAGUCUCCCCUGCCUCCUAGCAGAAUGGAUGUAUGGCAGCUGCCAUUUUGUUUUUUCUGUUCAGAUGCAGAUGUUAGUGAGUCGCUUUGUUUCCUUUGGCUACAUGUGCAUAUGUAUAAUAUGGGUGUGAUGAUAUAUAAUCAGACUCUAUAUAUUUGUUCUUUCUUUCUAUCUCUUUUUUUUCUUUAGUCAGAUAUUAAAGUCACUGAUAGAAAAAUAUGUUUUGCUCCAUGCCUGGGCAAACCACAACUAAUCAUUCAACAGGCUCAGAAUGAAGCCAACUCACUAAAUUCUAAGUGGUGCUGGGAAACUUUGAGAAUGAGGUUCCGGCUCUGAAAUAACUGUAUAACUUUAUUAUGCCCACAGAGUGCAUUGUGCUUUGCAAGUGCAUUGUGUGCUAUGUGUUUGUAUUUAUGAGACCAGAUAAUUCCAAUCACUUAAAUGUCUAGAAACCUGUGCCAAUGUUUCCAAAAAAAAGAUAGGCAUAUUUGCACAUCUAAUGUUUGUAUAAAAUUAUGGUACACACACAAAUGACCACUAAAACAUGGAUUCUCUAAUAUGGAUGAACAUUUAUGAUUCUGCAUGCAAAACAGUCAUGUAAAUAUGCAUAUAUUUUUAUGAAAUUGAUCGCUUGAACACAGGGAAGGAAUACUAAAACAAUAUGCUCAUUGACUAAGGUACGGUAAAAGAAGUUUUAAUUUGAUGCUGUGAAUUUAUUUUGUUUGUAUGGGACCAGGUUGUGAAGUAUUAUACUCAACUCCAUGGCAUUUUGGUUUGUCAGUCUCUCUGUAAUGUUUGAAAACCUCAUCUGAACAAUUCCAAAAUUUCAGGGAAUGUUCUAUUUGUCAGAGGCUAGUGGGGGAAAUCA